rnacentral:rRNA from 1 species
GACGUAGGAGGCGAGCGUUAUCCGGAUUCACUGGGCGUAAAGCGCAUGUAGGCGGCUGGACAAGUCGUGUGUUAAAGCCCCUGGCUCAACUGGGGGAGGUCAUGCGAGACUGUACGGCUGGAGGGCAACAGAGGCACGUGGAACUCCCGGUGUAGCGGUGGAAUGCGUAGAGAUCGGGAAGAACACCAGUGGCGAAGGCGACGUGCUGGGUUGCACCUGACGCUGAGAUGCGAAAGUGUGGGGAGCAAACGGG